GAUGAACGCUGGCGGCGUGCUUAACACAUGCAAGUCGAACGGAAAGGCUCCUGCUUGCAGGGGUACUCGAGUGGCGAACGGGUGAGUAACACGUGGGUGAUCUGCCCUGCACUUCGGGAUAAGCCUGGGAAACUGGGUCUAAUACCGGAUAGGACCACAUUUUGGAUGGUGUGGUGGAAAGUUUUUCGGUGUGGGAUGAGCUCGCGGCCUAUCAGCUUGUUGGUGGGGUAAUGGCCUACCAAGGCGUCGACGGGUAGCCGGCCUGAGAGGGUGUACGGCCACAUUGGGACUGAGAUACGGCCCAGACUCCUACGGGAGGCAGCAGUGGGGAAUAUUGCACAAUGGGCGCAAGCCUGAUGCAGCGACGCCGCGUGGGGGAUGACGGCCUUCGGGUUGUAAACUCCUUUCGCUAGGGACGAAGCGUUUUUGUGACGGUACCUGGAGAAGAAGCACCGGCUAACUACGU
rnacentral:rRNA from 1 species